CAAGCUAAGGCUUGUUUAUAGCCACGGUGGUGUUUCUUUCUCCCACCUUUCAUGAGAUGCCAGAUUCUCACUUGCGUUGUCCUUCAUCGCCUCCGCUUCCCUCGCCCUGUGUUGCAUCUAUACCCAUAUGGAAAUAGCACCUGUUUUCAUCCCUAACAAAUAUGAGAAUGGCCAGCAGGGAAGAGAUCAGAGUUUAGUGAAGGGCCUGAUAGAUGAAGUAUUUCAAGUACAAAAGGACUGUCUCCAGAACUCCUAACAUGGAGAGUUGAAGCAUCAGUGAAGUACCAUCAUGAACGGAUGCGUUUAUCUCCUCCAAACUAGCUGGUGUCUCCAGUCUUUCUGGAUGCACAGCACGAAAACCAAAAAUCAAGCAGUUAUUCCAACUUUUCCUAGAAGGUGAAAGCUUGUGAAACCAGAAGACCAAGAAUGGAAUUCUUUGCAAGAUUACCUAGUACUCUGAAAUAAAACGAAAGCGGAAGCAUUUAAAAAUGAAAGAAAAAUAAAUCUAAAGUUGGGUUUCCUUUAGAAAGAAAAACAUCUGUGUCUUCUUCUAAUGGUGUUAUAAUUGCACACUAAUUCUGCACAAGUAAUUCUAGCAGCUACUUUACAACUGUUUUAAUUGGUGACAAUUCAUUUCCUACUUGAUUAAUAAAAACAUUAACAUUUUUAUUGGCUUGGGAGAUGUAUGAGGAAAAUACACAGAAAACCAGGAGGUUUGCACCGUUAAGCCUCUAAGUAUGUUAAUAAGGGUAAUUGUAUGACAUUAUAUUGCUGAGCUGUUCUUUAACAUGAUGUGUUUUGGUAGGUUCAUGUUCACAAGGAAAAAUAGCUGUCACAAAAUUGCUGGUGUGAGUAAGUCAUGAAAGAUAGACCAGCGACACUAUAGCACCCUCAAGUCUAUCUCAUCUUGUAGACAUUUAAAAAGGAAAAAAAAUGGAGAGGAGAGUAAAUUCAUAUUUUCACAUCUUAGGUCAAAUAAUCAAGUAAUACUAUGAACUGGUCUCAAUGAUGUGAAGGUCAGUAAAUGUAAACAGCUAUUGUAAUAAAUGAAACUUUUGUCUAUGUUCAUUCAUUCAUUCAUUCAUUCAUCCAUUGUCAUUUAGUCCUGACUUCAUUAAUUCAACAAACAUUUUUUAUUUCAUAUAGUAGGCAUAGCUUCUAUAUCUGCAGAAUUUUCCAGUCAGCCCCUUUCAUAGGCAUCAGGUUCUCGGGCUAAUUAUGUUUUAAUCGUGGUCUUCCCCUGAUGGGUCCAGAAAUCACAUGGGUGAGAUCAUCUCAUCCAACUCAUAACUUACAACCUUAUCCAAAUCAAACCGUUAUUAACUCACUUUCCUCCUAUGAGAUUCAGACAUACAUGUCUUAAUUAGUGGUUGGGUUUUUCCACAGAUAUCUCUACAUGGUCAAGUUGAGUGUGUAAUGUCCCUCCCCUCAAACCUGUUCCACUUCCUGUGAUUGUCACCUUGUCUACAAAUAUAAUAAUAUGACCCAGUGUGGCCAUUUAUUCUUUUUCAUCCUUUUCACUCCAUACAUGUAAUGCUAUGAUGCUAUUGUUACUAAAAGACACAGAAAGAUCUGGAGGUUUUGUUUAGCACUAGUGAAAUGAGUCUUGUGUGUGGUGACAUUUUCUCCAGUUUUCCUAAGAGUGUGGAAUGUCUCAAAAACUUUCAUUCUGGUCUGUCUGUGAUUUGCCCCAACCCCUGGCACAAUCACCGAAGUCAGUUGGUCCUCUUCGUCAUGAUCCUUCUAACGUUUUCUGGCACUCUGUUUUCCGUCAAAGGAUCACCUGGGUGUAACAGGAAGAAGAAUAUUAAGUUGCCCUGAGAAACUUGUUG